rnacentral:rRNA from 1 species
GAGUUUGAUCCUGGCUCCAGAUUGAACGCUGGCGGCAUGCCUUACACAUGCAAGUCGAACGGCAGCACGGGAGCUUGCUCCUGGUGGCGAGUGGCGAACGGGUGAGUAAUGCAUCGGAACGUAUCCUGGAGUGGGGGAUAACGUAGCGAAGGUUACGCUAAUACCGCAUAUUCUGUGAGCAGGAAAGCGGGGGACCUUCGGGCCUCGCGCUUUUGGAGCGGCCGAUGUCGGAUUAGCUAGUUGGUGAGGUAAAGGCUCACCAAGGCGACGAUCCGUAGCAGGUCUGAGAGGAUGAUCUGCCACACUGGAACUGAGACACGGUCCAGACUCCUACGGGAGGCAGCAGUGGGGAAUUUUGGACAAUGGGGGCAACCCUGAUCCAGCCAUGCCGCGUGAGUGAAGAAGGCC